rnacentral:ncRNA from 1 species
CUUUUAGAACAAGUGGUAGCGGAGCGUUCCGUAAGCCUGUGAAGGUGUACCGUAAGGUAUGCUGGAGGUAUCGGAAGCGAGAAUGCUGACAUGAGUAGCGAUAAAGGGAGUGAGAACCUCCCUCGCCGAAAGCCCAAGGGUUCCUGCGCAAGGCCAAUCCGCGCAGGGUGAGUCGGCCCCUAAGACGAGGCUGAAAAGCGUAGUCGAUGGGAAACAGGUUAAUAUUCCUGUACCCGUGAGAAGUGACGGCCUUCGAAAGUUGUACCUCCUUAUUGGAUUGGAGGUGCCGCCUGGAAGGUCCAGGAAAUAACUCUCAC